AAUAAAUUUUUUCGUUCUGAAGAAGAGAAGGAGGUUCUCCUUCAGGAAAUUGCAAAGCUUACGGAGGAUUUCACGGGUGCAGAGUUGCAUAACAUACUGAAUGAAGCCGGAAUUUUGAUUGCCAGGAAGGACUUAGAUUUCAUCGGACAAGAAGAGCUUCUAGAGGCUUUGAAAAGGGUUGGUGGAGUUUUUACCCAUCCAGCUAUCCCUUUUUGGGCGAUAUUAUGCACUGUUGGCGUGACUUGUGGACUAUUGACUUACUUUUCUUACACACCAAGAAUUCCUAUUAUAAUUGUAAUUGAUUUACUUUAA